CAUGUAAGUCGAACGCUCUCUUCGGAGAGAGUGGCAGACGGGUGAGUAACGCGUGGGAAUCUACCCAGUACUACGGAACAACAGUUAGAAAUGACUGCUAAUACCGUAUACGCCCUCCGGGGGAAAGAUUUAUCGGUAUUGGAUGAGCCCGCGUUUGAUUAGCUAGUUGGUGAGGUAACGGCUCACCAAGGCGACGAUCAAUAGCUGGUCUGAGAGGACGAUCAGCCACACUGGGACUGAGACACGGCCCAGACUCCUACGGGAGGCAGCAGUGGGGAAUAUUGGACAAUGGGCGAAAGCCUGAUCCAGCCAUGCCGCGUGUGUGAUGAAGGCCCUAGGGUUGUAAAGCACUUUCAACGGUGAAGAUAAUGACGGUAACCGUAGAAGAAGCUCCGGCUAACUUCGUGCCAGCAGCCGCGGUAAUACGAAGGGAGCUAGCGUUGUUCGGAAUUACUGGGCGUAAAGCGCGCGUAGGCGGGCUAUUAAGUUAGGGGUGAAAUCCCGGGGCUCAACCCCGGAACUGCCCUUGAUACUGGUAGUCUAGAGUUCGAGAGAGGUGAGUGGAAUUCCGAGUGUAGAGGUGAAAUUCGUAGAUAUUCG
rnacentral:rRNA from 1 species